rnacentral:snRNA from 1 species
AUCGCUUCUCGGCCUUUUGGCUAAGAUCAAGUGUAGUAUCUGUUCUUAUCAGUUUAUACGUCCUCUAUCCGAGGACAAUAUAUUAAGACUGGUUCUCAGGUGGUUAUGAGGAGGGUCUUAUAGCCCCCACCCACA